rnacentral:rRNA from 1 species
UACAGAGGGUGCGAGCGUUAAUCGGAAUUACUGGGCGUAAAGCGUGCGUAGACGGCUAUCUAAGUCGGGUGUGAAAGCCCCGGGCUCAACCUGGGAAUUGCAUUCGAGACUGAAUAGCUAGGGUACGGUAGAGGGAAGCGGAAUUUCCGGUGUAGCGGUGAAAUGCGUAGAUAUCGGAAGGAACAUCAGUGGCGAAGGCGGUUCUCUGGGACGGUACUGACGCUGAGACGCGAAAGCGUGGGGAGCGAACAGG